UGCAUGUCUAACUACGUGCCGAUCUCCAGGCGAAACCGCGAAUGGCUCAUUAAAUCAGUUACAAUUCCUUGGAUCGUACUCGCCUACUUGGAUAACUGUGGCAAAUCUAGAGCUAAUACAUGCAGCAGAGCUCCGACCCCCCAGCCGGGGACGAGCGCUUUUAUUAGACCAACCAAUCGGGCGGCCCUCCCGUCCGUUCCCCGUGGCGACUCUGAGUAACUUUGGGCCGAUCGCACGGGCACGUCCCGGCGACGUAUCUUUCAAGUGUCUGCCUUAUCAACUGUCGAUGGUAGGUUACGUGCCUACCAUGGUCGCAACGGGUGACGGGGAAUUAGGGUUCGAUUCCGGAGAGGGAGCCUGAGAAACGGCUACCACAUCCAAGGAAGGCAGCAGGCGCGCAAAUUACCCACUCCCGGCACGGGGAGGUAGUGACGAAAAAUAACAAUACGGGACUCUUUUGAGACUCCGUAAUUGGAAUGAGGACGCUCCAAACCCUCUACCGAGGAUCGAUUGGAGGGCAAGUCUGGUGCCAGCAUCCGCGGUAAACCCAGCUCCAAUAGCGUACAUUAAAUUUGCUGCGGUUAAAAAGCUCGUAGUUGGAUCUCAGUUCCGGCCCGGCGGUCCGCCCCACCGGCGGUCGCCGUCGGCGCCGAACACGCAGUCGGUUUUCCUCGAUGAUCUUCACCGGUUGUCUUGGGUGACCGACGACUUUACUUUGAAAAAAUUAGAGUGCUCAGAGCAGGCGCGACGCCUGGAUAGUGGUGCAUGGAAUAAUGGAAUAGGACCUCGGUUCUAUUUUGUUGGUUUUCGGAACGCCCGAGGUAAUGAUUAAGAGGGACAGACGGGGGCAUUCGUACUGCAUGGUUAGAGGUGAAAUUCUUGGAUCCAUGCAAGACGAACUACUGCGAAAGCAUUUGCCAAGAAUGUUUCCCUUAAUCAAGAACGAAAGUCAGAGGCUCGAAGGCGAUCAGAUACCGCCCUAGUUUUGACCAUAAACGAUGCCAGCCAGCGAUCCGGCUGUGUUCCUCAAAUGACACGCCGGGCAGCUUCCGGGAAACCAAAGCCUUUGGGUUCCGGGGGAAGUAUGGUUGCAAAGCUGAAACUUAAAGGAAUUGACGGAAAGGCACUACAAGGCAUGGAGCCUGCGGCUCAAUUUGACUCAACGCGCGAUAGCCUACCCGGCCCGGACACAGGAAGGAUUGACAGAUUAAGAGCUCUUUCUUGAUUCUGUGGAAGGUGGUGCAUGGCCGUUUGUAGUUGGUGGAGCGAUUUGUCUGGUUAAUUCCGAUAACGAUCGAGAUCCCAGCCUGCUAAAUAGGCGAUCCGAUCUGUCCGUCGGACGCUUCUUCUUAGAGGGACAAGCGGCGUUCAGCCGCACGAAACGGGGCGAAAACAGGUCUGAGAUGCCCUUAGAUGUCCGGGGCCGCACGCGCGCUACAUUGAAGGAAUCAGCGUGCGCUCGCCCCGUCCGACAGGACCGGGUAACCCGCUGAAACUCCUUCGUGCUGGGGAUAGGGGCUUGAAAUUGUUCCCCUUGAACGAGGAAUUCCCAGUAAGCGCGAGUCAUAAUCUCGUGCUGAAUACGUCACUGCCUCUUGUACACACCGCCUGUCGCCACUACCGAUUGAAUGAUUUAGUGAGGUCAUCGGACUGGUGCCCGGAGCGGUCUCUCGGUCGCGCCGGCGUGCCGGAAAGUUGACCGAACUUGGUCAUU
rnacentral:rRNA from 1 species